AAUAAAUUUAUCUAUGAGUUUCGAUGUCUAGUGUUUAAUCGUUUGUCUUAUUUAAACUUUUUAUGAUGGGCAUUUUUAUUAUUAUUAGAUGAUAAAACAUGAAGAAUACUCAUGCAUUACUUAUUUUUUAAUUUUUUUUAUAAAUUCUUAAAAUGAAAUGAAUGAUUAAACGUUAGGCACAUAAGCGCAUAAAUGAGGACGGA
rnacentral:pre_miRNA from 1 species